rnacentral:misc_RNA from 1 species
GCGUGUGGACAUGUCGGAUCCCUGCUCGGGCAGNGACGGCAUGCCGCACGUGCCUCCUCAGUCGGUUGGUUCAAGCGCGCUAUCGCCUUGGCCGUUGUCGGUUUUCUGUGUUGCAUACCCGCCACCAAGGCAAUCGAUGGUCGAAAUGUCCCGUUUUCGUCCCGUGCUGCGUCCCCUCGGGGGAUGCGGCCCGGGGCGAACCUCGAGGACCCGUCGCGUUCCGCGUUCCGCGCGCCGGAAACAGCGCGUGGGCGUCGGCCCCCGACGACGUGCUCGGUCUCUCGGAUGUGGAAAAUCUAGUGGGCAUGCGGCCCCCCGGCCACUAUCUGCCCCGAAACAAGCGUUUCACGCUUCGUGCGAACGACUGCCGCCGCCGUCUCGGUCGGGCCCUCGUGGCUCG